CUAAGAAUAUUCCGCAAUGGAGGAAACUCUGACGGAGCGACGCCGCGUGGAUGAUGAAGGUCGGAAGAUUGUAAAAUCCUUUUAUGACUGAGGAAUGAGCUGGGUGAGAGAAACGCCUGGUGGUGACUGUAGGUCAUGAAUAAGCAACGGCUAAUUACGUGCCAGCAGCCGCGGUAACACGUAAGGUGCGAGCGUUGUUCGGAAUCAUUGGGCGUAAAGGGCAUGUAGGCGGUCUGUCAAGCCAGGCGUGAAAGCCAGGGGCUCAACCCCUGAACUGCGCUUGGAACUGGCGGACUGGAGUCGCUGAGGGGGAACCGAAUUCCUGAUGUAGGGGUGAAAUCUGUAGAUAUCAGGAAGAACACCGAUGGCGAAGGCAGGUUUCCAGCAGACGACUGACGCUGAGGUGCGAAGGUGCGGGGAGCAAACAGGAUUAGAUACCCUGGUAGU
rnacentral:rRNA from 1 species